rnacentral:rRNA from 1 species
AUUGAACGCUGGCGGCAUGCCUUACACAUGCAAGUCGAACGGAUUUUGGGGCUUGCUCCAAAGUUAGUGGCGAACGGGUGAGUAAAGCAUCGGAACGUACCCAGUCGUGGGGGAUAACGUAGCGAAAGUUACGCUAAUACCGCAUACGAUCUGAGGAUGAAAGCGGGGGACCUUCGGGCCUCGCGCGAUUGGGGCGGCCGAUGUCGGAUUAGCUAGUUGGUGAGGUAAAGGCUCACCAAGGCGACGAUCCGUAGCUGGUCUGAGAGGACGACCAGCAACACUGGGACGGGGACACGGCCCAGACUCCUACGGGAGGAAGCAGUGGGGAAUUUUGGACAAUGGGCGAAAGCCUGAUCCAGCCAUGCCGCGUGAGUGAAGAAGGCCUUCGGGUUGUAAAGCUCUUUCAGACGGAAAGAAAUCUCUCGGGUGAAUAUCCCGGGAGGAUGACGGUACCGUAAGAAGAAGCACCGGCUAACUACGUGCCAGCAGCCGCCGUAA